rnacentral:lncRNA from 1 species
CUCUCUCUCACAUAUCACACAACUCAUCGCUUCGUUCUUCUUCAUCCAUCCCUGAGUUCUUCAUUCAUCCCUGAGAGAUAAUUCAAAACUCUCUUCUUCCUCAGUUCCUCUUGUAAACCCUAAAACGAUGAUGAUCCGUAAAAGUAAGAUUGGAAAAAGUUCUUUUAUAUUCAUCGUCUCGUUUCAAUGAUUGAAUGAUAUAGAUCGAUUCAUCUCUAAAUCUGUAUCGGUUUCACCAGAGACUACGACGGAAUUAAAAAGUGAAGAGAAGAAUCGAGUCGAGAGGUAUGCGUAAUUGGUCUCUGUGAACUCCGCCAAUGAUGAUCCAUCCAAGUAGAACCCGAUCGAGGAGACGAUGAUGAUGAUGAUGAUCCGUACGGGUAAGAUUGGAAAAAUUAUUUUUGUAUCAUCGUUUCGUUUCGUUUCGUUUCAUUGAUUGAAUUUGAAUGAUAAGAUCAGAUCGAUCUCCUCUGUUCUUCUUCUUCUUCAGCCUAACUCAAUAUCGAUUUACCACCGGAUUCUGAGUCUAGCGACGGAGAAGCCAGUGAAGAGAGGAAUCGAGCGAGGUAUUUGUAAAAAGCCCUCGUCUUCUUGAUUCAUAUUUGAGAUUAGGAAUGAAUUGCUAACUCUAAAAUCUGUUUAUCUGUACAAAUCCUAUACUUUAUUAUACAUUGGUUGCAGCCAUGUAUGUGUCUCGUCGUGUUACUGAAGUUGGUCACGUACAUCGUUCGUUUUGAGGAAACCAGAACCGUGCUUAAGUAAGCUCUGUCUCUCUUUAGCUUCUCUUCUUUAUAAUCUUAUGUACUUUUGUGGCUAAUUAUGUGUUACUUAAUUUGACCAGGUACUUCACUGAUGGAACGCUCCUCAAUGUGACGAAAGAACACUAGGCACUAGCCACAUAUGUGCUCUUUGGUCUUCUCUACAAACAUUGCUGAGACUUCCCUAACUAUAGAUGGGAUUGUCCCUGGUUUUGCCAACCCACGAAGAAUCCGUUUUGAAUUACUUGGGAGCAAUGGAUGAUGAAGGUAACUUGACAAAGACNNN